GCCGGGGUGGCGAAAUGGCAGACGCUACGGACUUAAAAUCCGUUGACCGUAAGGUCGUGUGGGUUCGACUCCCACCCUCGGCACCA
rnacentral:tRNA from 1 species